AGCUUUGCUGAACUUUAAAUUCUAGAACUCUAAAGCUGGAAAGGACUGAUGAAAUCAUCUAAGUCCUUGCUCAAGGACAUUUCUUGGUAUAUGAAGAAAAAUUGGCCUCACACAGAUGUGUAUUAGAAAAAGGUGGACAACAUUAUAUAAUAUCUCCU